rnacentral:lncRNA from 1 species
CCACCCCCACCCUCUCUCUCUCAGGUUAACUCAGAAUUAUGCAUUUUUAACAGGCUGAAUCAAAAUAUUACCACUAGCAAGGAAAUCCUUAUGAUAAAGCACACUAGGUAAAAGGUCUAUCUGCCUACGUCUAUAACCCGUAAAUCACUCUAAAAAUCAAUAUGAACAGAGACCAUUAGCCAAAACCCUGAUUAAAAAAUCUCAAUAGAAACAUGAAAAAGAUACCCUGCGUCUCAUAAAACGCUUUGGUGGUUCACGGUUCCUGCGGUCAGUGCGUGAGCGAACCCUCACCACAUGCGAGUGAAUUGCACAGGAGACACAGUACUGCAUCUUUGCAUACAACUUAGGCAGAACAUAGUCUGCAUCAAAUGCAAAAGAUUCCCAUUAUUUUCCAUUCAAACAAUACAUAAUUAAUUACAAAAUAAGAGAAAUAAUAACAUGUGUAGCAGAUAUUUACUGUCAUAGAUGCAGGCAUCCUGCACGUCUCUAACAGCAGCUUGCUCAACAAUGUUCCUCACAAGGCAUAUUAAUUAAUUUUUAAAUGCAAACUUAACAUCAAUACAACAACUCUAGUCUAACUAUAGAUUUGACCAAUACAUCCGCAAAAUUUAUCAUGACACGAGUUUACAAAAAUAUGGAAGAAUUGAAAAAAUUAUUCUUCUUUCCCGUAAUGCCACACAAUUGCCUCAUUUGGGAGGGAAAAAUUCUCAAUGUUGUUCAUUUUUAUCAAAAUAAACAAAAAAAAAAAAAAACAGGGAAUCAUAUAAUACUAAUAAUAAAAAAACAGAUAGAAUUUUAAUUAAUGAAAGCGAUACAAAAAUAAAAACAAAAGUGUAUACUUUGGGGCAGCAUUUGCCGUUCCGACGCUUGAAGGUCUGCCACAGAAAAAAAAAAUAUAAUAAAUCAAAUUUAUAUUAAAUAAAAACAAUUCUUCUUUUUUCAAUAAUAAUAUUUUUGGAAAUCAGAAAGAUAAAACAUUUUCGCAAACCAUUCUGUUUUCUUCAAGGGAUGAUCUCCCCUUUCCAAUUUUUGACAACCACGCCUAAUCCAAUCAUCAUUUCUUCUGAAGUUGACAUUGCUGCAUGAGUAAAAAAGAAUGUUAAAAUUGAAUUAUUCAUUUGGAAGAAUAUCAUGACGCAAUUAAACAAAAACUGAAUAUUUUAUCUUUCGUACUCUCUCAAUAAUUUUGACUGCAUACUUUUUCUGAAAAAAAAAAAAAAAAAACUCAUAUCUAGAUUCAGUCACAAAGCCAAAUCUCUCUAAUCAUACGUCUAUAUUAAGAAACACAAAUAAGAGAUUCCAAGAACUUGUUAACACCCUUUUGGAAUAAUUGAUUCUGGAUUUUCAUACUUGGAUAAUGGCUUUUGCUUGGAUAUCUCUCCAAUCACUCAAACCCUUUCACACAAUUGAUUGAAUCUCACUUGCUUGAUUUAUAUUACAUCGAGAUUUUGAGCCUGGCAUGGUUAAGGAGUUUUAAAAGUGUAAAAAAUUGAGUGAUUGAAAAAUGGGAGAAACCUGUAGUGUAACUGUGGUACUGUGCCAAAGUUGCAUUCAGUCGUUGGAUGUCAGUGGAUCCUACUAAUCUAAGUGCAUCCAACGGCUGGAUACAACUGUGGCAUGGUACCACAGUUGCACCGUAGCCUGAUCCUGAAAAAUAAUAGAGCUGAAAAUGAGAGAAAAUUUAGAAUUAUGGGAAUUUUAUUGGGGAAGAAAAAGUAUUGUAAACUCAAUGAUGGGGUGAUUAAGAAAUAGGCCGAAUAAAAAAUAAAAAGAAUUUAAAUAUCAUCACUCAAAUUUAAUUGUAUUUUUAUUAAAAACAUUAACCGGUGAUUUCUAUUUAAAGGAAUAAUAUUUAAGUCCCUCAAAUUUUUUAUUUUUAACUGCUUGUAUCUUUUUCUAAAACUUAUUAUACUCAUAAGAUAUCAAUAUUUAAUGUUCAAAAUGACUUUUUCUAAAUAUUAAAACAAUUAUUAUUAUUAUUAUUAUUAUUUGUUGUAAUAUAGUGGUAGGGAUAAAAAUCUAAGGGUGACAAAAAAAUUGGUAUUUAAUAGAAUUUUCGUAAUGACAAAAAGUAAAUGGACCCAAGUGAUAAAACAAUAUAAUUGAUGGACAAAAGAUCAUUUUUCAUUUGUGUUGCCGACACCGUAGUUUGGUUUACGCUUCCCGACCCAUGAUAUUCAAGUCCCGGUACCUUUGUCAUCCCAUAAAAUUGUCCAUAAUUAAAAUAAGGCAUGUUUUAUAUUCUGUGGCUAAUAUUUAGAGCAAAUGAAUUUUCCAAGUCCUCCCAUAAAGAUAUCAUAUCCCAACAUAAUCUUCAACCAUUUUAAUGGUUAAAAUUACAAGAGAAGUCGUAUCUAUGUUUUAUCACAAUUGUUUGGCAACCACCAAAUUGGCCGUAUAAAGCCAUUGAUGAAUCAGAAAAAGAUACCAUUGUCGAAAACUUGGCCAUUGUGGUCCCUGAUGUAUAAAACUGACCAUAGGAUUAGCAAAGGUUUGUCAGCUAGCGGAACUUACGUGUACGUCAUGCACACUUAAAUGUUAUCUAUAUACUGUGUAGGCAUUGCUCUGAACUAACCUCUUCAUUCAGAGUCCCCGAGUCAGCUGCAAGGGAAUGGCCAUGAAUAAUCUUUCAGCAGAAUCAACUGUUGCUGCAGCAAUUUCAGCCUUAGUGAUAUUCCUCUCAAUUUUCCUCUUGAUUUCAAGAAAUGGGCAAAAAAGGACACUCAAGAAUAAGCAAGCUCAACAAGCACCGGUAGCAGAGGGAGCAUGGCCUUUGAUAGGCCACCUACAUCUCUUACGAGGGCCAGAGCCAGCUCACAGAGUUUUGGGCAACCUGGCUGACAAAUAUGGAACAAUAUUCACUAUGAAGUUGGGGGUGAAACAUGCUUUAGUGGUGAGCAACUGGGAAAUUGCCAAGGAGUGUUUUACCACAAAUGACAAAGCUUUUGCAGGUCGCCCCAAAACAAUGGCCGUAGAGCUUAUGGGGUACAACUUUUUGGUCAUAGGCUUCGCACCAUAUGGCAACUACUGGCGUCAGUCACGUAAGAUAGUGACAAUUGAGCUUCUGUCAAAUCGUCGCCUUGAGAAGCUCAAACACGUACGUGAAUCUGAAGUGAAGGCUUCAAUCCAGAGGUUAUACAAGAAUUGCAUAAGUAGCAGCAGUUCACGUAAAGUAGUUUCGGUGGAGAUGAUCCAUUGGCUCGAGGGCACAGCACUUGACAUUAUUUUGAGAAUAAUUGCCGGAAAACGUCACACUUCACAAUCAGAAGAGGCUAAUGAUUGGCAACAGCAAAUAACAAAGAUCGCUGCCUUGUCUGGUCAGUUCGUGGUGUCCGAUGCGUUGCCCUUUCUGAGACGGUUAGAUAUCGGUGGAUAUGAGAGAUUAAUGAGCAAGACAGCUAAAUAUUUUGACAUCAUUUUGCAAGAAUGGGUGGAUGAGCACAAGAUGAAAAGAGUUUCUGGUGAAGUUAAGGGCGACGAGGAUUUCAUAUAUGUGUUGUUGUCCCUACUUGAUGAUAAUGCAGAGCAGCUUCCCGAUUGCGAAGCUGACACUGUCAUUAAAGCAAUCUGCUUGGUAUAAUAUAUCCUCAUGAAAUGCUUGUGGUGUGUUUGUGUUUGUAUUGUAAUAUGAAUGUCACAGAUUUCUUACUGCUUUUAAUUUGCAGACUCUAAUCGUAGCGGCUGCAGAGACCACAGUAGUUACAUUGACAUGGGCUAUUGCUUUACUUCUCAACAAUCCCGAGGUUCUGAAGAAGGCACGAGAUGAAAUAGACAUUUAGGUUGGCACUGAAAGGCCAGUGAAUGAAUUAGACACGAGAAAUUUGGUUUACUUGCAGGCCAUUAUCAAGGAAACAAUGCGUUUAUACCCUGCUGGACCACUUUUACUACCUCACGAGUCUAUAGAAGAAUGCGUCGUCAAUGGUUACUGUGAGAUGAAUGAAUCAAGUUUGGUUCCAGAAACGACCACGUUUUGGAGCUGUAAAGCUUCAUUAAACUCACGUGCUUCUCAGCUGGUUAGCAACAGAAAACGAAUUGAUCAAAACGACAGGACUUGAGCGCGUUUUGCAUAUCAGUUUAAGUAACCACGUGAGGAAGCAUGUGACGAAGGUUAUCAGAGUUCGUUAAGGUUGUUAAACCACGUGGCAUCGAGCUGUUUAUUCUGGAAAUCAAGCUGGCUACCUAGAACAGAGUAUAAAGGCUGAGUUUCUGAGGUGAUUCAUGACGAUCUUCAUGAGUCUUGCAGAGAGGGUUUGCAAAGAGAGAAAGUGUUAAUCUGUUCUCUGUAACGUCUGUUGUAAGGCUCUGUAACAAUCUCCAUUGUAAUAUCAAUAAAGCUCAUCUUGAGGCUUCUCCCGUGGAUGUAAGCUGAGCAUUCCAUGCUCAGCUGAACCACGUUAAUCUUGGUGUCUGUGGUUCUUUUCUUGGUUCUUGUUUCAGUUUCUUGUUUGUGUUCAUUGCUAUUGUGCUUUGUUGUUCUUGGGUGAAUUCGUCUGAAUAAAUCUUGGGGGUGUGCAACUUGCAUUGACUAAAUCACAAGCAUCCUAGGGCAGUGGUCAGUUUAGUUUGGUUAUAGGCUUGCUGAUUCACUACAAUUGGUAUCAAAGCUGUGGUGUUCUGUGAUCAAGUCCAAGUAUGGUGUCUUCUAAGGUCGAUAUAGAAAAAUUCACAGGCAAGAAUGAUUUCAAUAUGUGGAAGAUUAAAAUGGAAGCCUUGCUGAUCACUCAGGGUUUGGGAGAUGCAUUUGAGCCUGAAAUGAAGGAAGGUAAAGGGGUUUCUUCAUCAAAGACUCCAGAGGAAUUUGCUGAAAUUCAUAAAAAGGCCAGGAGUACAAUAAUCCUGAGUCUUGGUGAUUCUGUCAUUAGAGAAGUGGCCAAAGAAAAGACAGUGGCUGGAUUAUGGAGCAAACUGGGAAGUCUUUAUAUGACCAAGUCUCUUGCAAAUAGACUCUACAUCAAGAAGAGGAUGUUUACACUGAAAAUGGUGGAAGGAGCUUCACUGGAAGAACACAUUGAUGAGUUUAACAAGGUAUGUGAUACCCUGGAAACCAUUGAUGCAGCUUUGGAUGAUGAAGGGAAGGCUCUCUUGCUUAUCAGUUCAUUACCAAAGUCCUAUGAAAACUUGGUUGAUGCCCUGAUGUAUGGAAGACAAACCCUAACACUUGAUGAAGUAAAAUCUGCCCUGAAUACUAGGGAACUUCAAACUAAGCAAGGACAUUUGGAGAAUAGUGGAAGUGAAGGACUGACAGCAAAUGUGAAGACUAACAAGAAGAAGAAGAAAGGCAAAUCCAAGAACAAAGAAAGAGAUCUAAAAUGCUUUCAGUGUCACAAAGAAGGCCAUUUUAAGAAGGAUUGCCCAGAAAAGAAAUCAAAGACAAAAGAUUCAAGAAAUCAAAGUGGAGAUGCUGCUGUAGUAGAAGAGGAAGGAUAUGAGUCUGCUGGUGUAUGUGUGGCAACAGAAAACAGCCAAAAAGGUAAAUGGGUUCUGGACUCUGGAUGUACCUUUCACAUGUGCCCUUUUAGAAAUUACUUUAAUGAAUAUCAAGCAUUUGAUGGAGGUAGAGUGAUGAUGGGUAAUAACUCUAUUUGUAAAAUCAUUGGAAUUGGGAAUGUAAGUCUUAAACUACAUGAUGGUUCUAUAAGAGUACUUAGGCAAGUCAGGCAUGUACCAGACUUGAAAAGAAAUCUAAUUUCUCUUGGAGUGUUGGACCAAAUAGGGUGUAGAAUUAAGCUUGAAUCUGGUGAAUUGAGUGUUCUGAAUGGUUCAAACCUAGUCAUGAAAGGGACUAGGAAGAAUGGGGUUUACAUCUUAGAUGGUGAGGUGAUAUCUGGAGUAGCUGAUGUAUCCAUUAAGCAUACUGAAGAUAAAACCAGGCUAUGGCAUAUAAGGUUGGGGCACAUGAGUGAGAGAAGGUUAAAAGAGCUAGCAAAACAAGGGUUGUUUGGUUCUGACAAGAUUGGAAAUCUGGAGUUUUGUGAAGAUUGUGUUCUAGGGAAGUCUUCAAGGGGAAGCUUCAAAAGGUCUAGUCAGAAAUCAAAUGAGAGGCUGGAUUAUGCACACUCAGACUUGUGGGGGCCUGCACAAUGUGUAUCUCUGGGAGGGAAUAGGUAUUUUUUAUCCAUCAUAGAUGAUUUCUCUAGGAAAGUCUGGGUAUAUGUGUUAAAAAACAAGGAUCAGACUUUUGAGAAGUUUAAAGAAUGGAAACAGAUGGUAGAAAACCAAACUGGAAAAAGAUUGACAAAACUGAGGACUGAUAAUGGUCUUGAAUUCUGCAACCAGCCAUUUGACAACUUUUGUGCAAAUGAGGGUAUAGCAAGACACAGGACAGUAAGGAUGACCCCACAACAGAAUGGGUUAGCUGAGAGGAUGAACAGGACCCUUAUGGAGAGGGUAAGAUGUAUGCUGAUUCAGUCCAAACUCCCAAAAAUAUUGUGGGCAGAAAUCUUACUCACAGCUUGUUACCUUGUCAACCUGAGCCCCUCUACUGGAAUCAAUUUCAAAACACCUUUCGAAACGUGGUCAGGGAAAACUGCUGACUAUGGGAUUCUUAAAGCUUUUGGCUGCCCAGCUUAUGUUCAUGUCAGUCAAGGUAAGCUAGCUGCUAGAGCCUUGAGAGGCAUUUUCAUAGGCUAUCCAGAAGGAGUCAAAGGGUUUAAAGUUUAGUGCACUGACCUUAAUCUACCAAAAUGUAUAGUAAGCAGGGAUGUGGUGUUCAAUGCGGGCAGUUUGAUGAAGAUGAAUCAUGAACCUGAUCUGGAAACUGAAAAUUCAAGACUAACAGAGAAGUUAGAGUUUGAGGUGGAGCCAUCUACUUUCAGAAACACAACUGAAGCUGCAGAAUCAGAUGAUGUUCCUGAAAUCACUGAUGACACACAGGCACCUCAAGAUCAGUCAAGUUCUCAGGAGCAAAUCAGAGAAUACCAGCUCACCAGAGAUAGACAAAAAAGGCAGAUUAAACCAACAAGAAGAUAUGGCUAUGCAGAUUUAAUAGGUUUUGCUCUUGCAGCUGCAAAAGAUAUAGAUGAUGAGGAAACAAAGAAUUUUAAGGAAGCAACCCAGAGCCUGUUCAAAGAAGNNNNNNNNNNNNNNNNNNNNNNNNNNNNNNNNNNNNNNNNNNNNNNNNNNNNNNNNNNNNNNNNNNNNNNNNNNNNNNNNNNNNNNNNNNNNNNNNNNNNNNNNNNNNNNNNNNNNNNNNNNNNNNUAAAUGGAUCUGAACCAAGGAGAUUCAAGGCCAGACUUGUGGCCAAGGGUUAUACACAAAAGGAGGGGAUAGAUUUUAAAGAAGUGUUUUCUCCAGUGGUCAGACAUGCCUCAAUUAGAGUUAUAUUAGCCAUAACAGCUGUGCAAGACAUGGAGCUUGAUCAACUCGAUGUCAAGACAGCAUUUCUGCAUGGAAGGCUUGAGGAAGAAAUACUGAUGUCCCAGCCUGAAGGGUAUGAGAUCCCAGGGAAGGAAGACCAUGUGUGUCAGCUAAAGAAGUCACUCUAUGGGCUUAAGCAGUCUCCCAGACAGUGGUACCUCAGAUUUGAUGAAUUCAUGCAACUACAUGAGUUUAUCAAAUGCAGCUAUGACUGUUGUGUUUACUACAAGACAAUCAAGGAUGGUUUGUACAUAUACCUCCUUCUAUAUGUAGAUGACAUGUUGGUUGCUUGCAAAGAUAGAGAAGAAAUUGAUAAGCUCAAGGUGCUGCUGAAUUCAGAAUUCGAAAUGAAUGAUUUGGGGUAUGCAAGGAAGAUUCUAGGAAUGGAGAUCAGAAGAAAUAGAAGUAAAGGGAUCAUGUUUCUAUCACAAGAAAAAUACUUGAGAAAGGUGUUAGAAACAUUUGACAUGAGCAAGGCUAAACCUGUGCAACUACCAUUGGCUUCACAUUUCAGGUUAAGCAAUUUACAGUGCCCUCAAACAGAAGCUGAAAAGCAAGAUAUGGCAAGUGUACCCUAUGCAAAUGCAGUAGGCUGCCUUAUGUAUGCAAUGGUCUUAACUAGACCAGACACAUCUCAUGCUGUCAGUGUAGUCAGCAGAUACAUGGCACAACCUGGGGAAGACCAUUGGAAGGCAGUAAAAUGGAUACUCAGGUAUCUCAAUGGCACUGUAAAUUGGGGUCUGAUGUAUGGCAAAACAGGAGCAAGUAAUGAGGUUCUGAAGGGGUAUGUUGACUCAGAUUAUGCAGGGGAUUUAGAUAGGAGAAGGUCUCUUACAGGAUACUUGUUCAUGUUAAAUGGUUGUGCUGUAAAUUGGAAGGCAACACUACAAAGUGUAGUAGCUCUUUCAACUACUGAAGCUGAGUAUACAGCUGCUACAGAAGCUGUAAAAGAAGAACUUUGGCUCAAGGGGUUGGUGACAGAGCUGGGAUUACAUUAGAAGUCAGUAUCAGUCUAUUGUGACAGCUCAAGUGCCAUACACUUGAGUAAAAACCCUGCACACCAUGAAAAGACAAAGCAUAUAGACAUUAAGCUCCAUUUUAUCAGAAAUGAAGUGUCAAGGGGUGCUGUGAAAAUGGUGAAGAUUCAUAUUGAUGAGAAUCCUGCAGAUGCAUUUACAAAGGUGAUUCCUGUGGCUAAGUUCAGAGCUUGCCUGGACCUAGCUGGCUUGUGCAGUCAGUAAUAUGUGUUGUGCAAAUUUUAAUGUACUCGCAAGCGCACGAAUCUAUUGUAGUAUAGACUAAUGGUGACGAGUGUCGAUCCCACGAGGAGGUGGAUUUUAAUUAUAUGUAGAAUUAAUUUUGUAAAUGGGUAGUUGGAUUUAUGGUGGAAAUGAUUUGGAAUAUACUAAUAAUUAAAUUAAAAUGGCGAGAAUAAAUUCUAAAAUUGGAAUUGCAAUUGAGAGAAUAAAUUGAAGAGAAAAUCUAUUAAAUUGACGUACUUGGGUAUCUGGAUCCGUAUCAACAUGCAUCAUGGGCUAAAUAUUCCUUAGUAAUACCAAUUAAAUCAUGAGGGGGGAAUCCACACCUCAUGAACCACGCUCUAAUCAAUAUGGUGCUAAGGGCUUAUCGUGCCAAAUAAUAAUAACCUUGUACCAGAGGGCCGGUGAAACCAAGGCGGUACUAGACAAGAUUAGUAUUAUUUGUCGACGAGAAGUCAAAACAUCCACAAAAACUAGAGGGGAAGAGAAAAUAAAUUUACCAAAUUAAGCCCGUGACACAUGUUGAGACUUCACCUUCAACCCAAGCUUGAAAGAAAAUUAGCCACUCAUAAUUGAACUAGGGGCAAAAUGGGAAUUUAUUAAAAUACAAAGAAAAUACAAGAUGGAGAGGGAAUUACAGAAAAUGGAUCCCAAAAAUGGAUUCAGAGAUAUCAAAUUAGGGGGGGGAGGCCCCCUUUUUAUAGAUACAUGGAGUAAAUCAUGGCCAUCGGAUUAAAAACAGUUUGGACGCUCAGGAUUGCGCCACGUCAUCAGUCAACAGUCCACGGUUUGACCACGCGGAUGAACAGUAACACGGUUUGACCCGACUUUGAACAGUAACGCGGUUUGGUUGAAAAUAAUCCUGUGUGAUGCAUGCACCGUACGCGAGAUUUUUCGUCCACUGAUAUGCUGCCACGUCACCAUCAACAGUGCAUAAGAAUUUUAGUCCAACAGGAUCGUGACACCUCAUCAGUCAAUGCCACAUCAUCGGUCAAUGCCACGUCAUCAUCCGUUUAUGUGAACAGUGUCGUGAACAGUAACGUAUACAGUACCGUACACGUGAAUAGUACCGUACAUGUGAAUAGUGCCAUUUUUCCUUUUAUGCUCCUCCUAAGGUUUUCGACCGUCCUGAGUUCAAAAGUGAUGUCCGUUUUGCCGUCUGAUCUCUCCUUUAUUGUGAAAUGACUAUAAUGCCCCUAAAAUACAUAAAAUACUUAAUUAAAAUAAAACACAUGUAAUUAAAUCACAAGAAGGUUAAAUAUAUAACAGUAAGGGUUGUUAGUAAGACUUAAAAUGUAAAAUGACGGUUUUCUCCUUUAUAAAUAUGCAUUUUCUAACACUCAACACACCCCCCAACCAGCUUAUUGCUAGUCCCUAGCAAAUAAAGCGAAAAUAAAAUUCAAAUUCAAAAUAUAUAUAUUUUUUUAAUAGAAACACUCGUAUUUAUUCCAUCAGAUUAAUGAUAGCAAUCAAAUAAAAGUAUAAGCAUUAUCUCCAGUCUAAAGCAACAUCACACCCACAUCAACCAUCCACAUGAAUUAGCCCAGUAGACUUUGUUUUAGCUACUCUCAAGAAUGACAUGUCAAACCCCAAAAUCUCACUGGAAGUAGUGACACUCUCACAAAUAAAUUAAUCCCAAUAAAAAUAGUCACUCCAAUGAAUGGUAAUUGAGAGAGAAAAUAAUAAAGAAGUGAUAUCACAUGCUCUCACCAAGAUGAAAUAAAUAUGCCCUCAGCUUAGAAAUAAUACGAUCUCAAGUCAAAUAAAAUGUUAGUCAACCCACUUUAUUUAUCUUUUUUUUUUUUAAUUAUGCAUCACUACAUCUUUUUAGCCCAUAUAACUAUCUUCUACUUCGGACUAUAGUUCCCUAAAAUCAAGAAGGACUUUUAUUAGGACGUAACGUAGGCUAGGGACAUGGUUAACAAAGAAGGGAAAUAAGGAAAACAAAGUGUAUGUUUGAGAAAAAUGCAGAGAAUUUUUUUUUUUUUUUUGGAAGUUGCAAGGUGGAUUUCACCUAUUUUUAUUCUUUUGAAACAACAACUUUUGUUUUUGUUUUUGUUUUUGUUUUUUUGUUUUUGUUUUUUUUUUUUUUUGCUUUUAUUUGGCAUAACUUCACUGAACAAAAUAAUUAUUUACAUUUUCUCAAACAUAAAUAGGUGAUGGAACUUAUAAGACAUCGGGUAAUACUCCAAAUCGGAGUGGGUCAAGAUGAUAAGUUGACAAAGAAAAUGUUUUUUUUUUUUAAAGGCUCAAAAGGGUUAACUAUGGAUAUUUAAUAAAAUGGAUGGCUAGAAAGGCUCAAACGGAUCAAAGAUGGCCUUUCCAUCGUCUUUUAUGGCUCUGAAUAACCUUCCAUAUCUACUAGUUAGAUGGGCCUCCAAAUGUAGCAACACACUUUUUUUUUUUUUAUUAAGGGUUAACUCAAAAGAAAUUUAGAGAUCGUGUAUACAAUAAUAAACUGUUAAGCUGUAUAAAGAAUGGGCAAAAGGGUUACUCUCCAAGAAAAAUGAUAGGCUCAAAAACUCACUUGGUACUUAUUAUGACAUGUUCAUUCCUUCAAGCAACUCAUAUAUGUCUCCAACAUCAACAUGUAGAGUAGCAAACAUAAUGUAACAUCACUUAAGACCAAAGAUAAUACAAAUACUAAAAUUUAAAUUAAUCAUGUCACCCAAUGUUAAAACAAAUCAAAAAAAAAUUUUUUUUUAAAAAAAACAUUCUACCCCCCAACCUAUUCUAAACAUAAAAAAGAAAAAAAUAUGCAUGCAGAAAUGUGAAAAUGAUGUAGAAAAAUUAAUUUAGAAAAGUUACAUUUAAAAUGAUAGAAAAGAAAAUGAUUUUUUUAUUAUUUUUUUUAAAGAAGAUGCGUUUCUAGAGGAACUACACUCCAUAUUCAGCCAUCUUCGACUCAAAAGUUGGAAAAUGCAUUUUUAUAGAGGAUAAAUUAAAAAGAAGAAAAAUAAACAUAAACACAUAAUAAAGAAAAAAGAAAAUGUCUUAAUUUUUUUUUUUAAGUUUUUUUUUUUUAAUUUUUUUUUUAAACUAUGAAGAUGCGUUUCUAGAGUCACUACACUCCAUAUUCAGCCAUCUUCAACUCAAAAAGUUAGCAACAGUUAGUUUCUACAACAAAAAAUUAGUAAAAACUUAACCAAAAUUUCAUAAUUGUCGACUAUUCCCUCCCCCCAACCAGAACGAAACAUUGUCCUCGAUGUUUGAAAUGAAAGAAGUAGAGUUUAGAAGACAUCACCUGGGUGGUGCAACACAGAAGAAAAUAUUUACAGGCGGAGAGUUAAAUCUAAUUUGUACUUCUUACUGCUGCUACUGUUACCAUCAUUAUUUGGGCGCUCCAACACAAAGGUCCAGGGGUCUAGCUCCGGUUUAUACGCUUGUAACAGAUCAAGUAGCUCAUUAGCAGUGUGAGCACAAAUAAAGAGUUUUUUCACAUUAGCGGGAAUGAAAUAGUUUUUUAUUGCAUGGUUAAGAAAUGCGAUAAAGCCAUCAUAAAAGUUAUUGACAUUUAACAAACCGAUGGGUUUUUGGUGGAUGUGCAGAUGGGCCCAAGAUGCUAGCGUGAUAAGUGCCUCUAGUGUUGCAAGAUCUCCUGGAAGGAAAAUAAAAGCAUCAGCAUGAUUAAGCAUUUCAGUUAUUCUUUCUUGCAUACCUGAGACGACUAACUCUUCUCCAGUUGAUGAGUCAGACGAACUGCCCAAUGGUUUUAAGACUCUUGGGAUGAUGCCUAACACUUGACUUCCUCUGAUAAAAGCUGCUUCGGAGACCAUUUUUGAUAACCCUCGAUUACCUCCUCCAUACACCAAGUGUAAUUUUCUCGCUGCUAUGCUUCGACCAAGAUCUAUGGCUGCCUCAACGAACUCUUUAUGUUUGCCAUAGGUAAAUCCAGAAAGCACACAAAUGUUCUUGAAUUGUCUAUUGGAAGUAGCUGCCAUUGUGAUACUUCUCGAAAACAAUUUGUGAGUGCUUGACAAAAAAGAAAUCACAUUUAAGAGUCUUGGUGAUAGUGGGUCAUGGUUGUGUAUGAGGUAAUAUGUCAGUGUCAAAUAACGCGUAAAGCACGUGGCUCGCAAGUCAAAAAGAAAACAGUAAAAAGGAAAAAGCAAACAGUAAUAAAAUUAUUAAAGACAAUAAUGCAAACAAUAAGACAAUAGUGAAAUAAAAUAACAAUAAAGUAAAAGGAUAUUUACAGGUAGUUGCGACUGUGGCUCACAUCUUCCUCUGGUUUUACGUCCAGAAACGGCUUGAACGCCCUCUAUGGGUCGAGGAUAGGCUUCCUAUCCAGUUUUCUUAUAAACUGGCAAACAGGGUCGUUUAUAGUCAGAUUCCCGAGACUAUAUCGUGCAUGCUCUUUCUGGAAUAACGGCCAUAACUGGAGAAUCGCUCCUUGCACAUAUCCACUGGGAUGCGUUUCAAGAGACAAAAGGAUAUCAUCCAAUGACUCCUUAUUCAAGCCAUCCCUAAUGAAUUGAAUCUUAUCUUCCCUGUUAUCAGACACCAUUCCUAAAGAACAUGGGUUUUUAUUGCAACUCAUUCUGGCACACUUAUGACAAGCAACAGAAAUUCUUCGAGCUCGUCGUUUUCUUGCAUAAUUUCCUUUACCACAACCAGGCAUGUAUGCAAUAAAUUUUGGAGGUAACUCACCUGCCGAUCGUACUUUAGCCUCGAUUAACCAACGGAUGUCAGCAGGUAUGUUAUUCCUCAUGAGUAAUCGCAUGCGUUCGGACCGAGCUUUAUAGAUCGUAAGGAGGGCAUUCUGAGGAAGUGAAGGGAAUCGCUUGUGAAGCUUCGCUAGAAUCUCGUUUCUGUCCAUACCUUCGCCUCAGAAUAUCAGUUAUUAUGGGAAACUGAAGUAACCGACUUGAUUGUCACGGAGUACCGUUAUCCGCCAUUUCACCGGGGUAACAAACUAAAGCACACAAAUAGAAAAACAAAUUAAAACACACAAAGAAAAUUAAAAUCGUCCUCUUAUUGAAUUUACCUCAAGCUCCAACUGGAUGUCGUAAACACUUCUCUCAAUGUCUCUGAGUUGGUGUUCUAAACCCUCAACAUAGGCUACUAACUCUGGUGGUUGUAGAGCCCAAAUGCGAUGUGUUUUACAAAAUUGAAUCUGUCUUUUGAGAUGAGUUUUGACACGUUGAAGUGGUUUAAGAAUGUUCAGGAGGAACGGUCUAAGUAUGAGACUCAUGAUUAAAAAUGAUAAGAGAAAACUUAAUGGUAAAAUAAACACACUUAUGCAAAAACAAUUUCAAUUAGCAAAAGAAUAAUAAUAAAAAGAAAGAAAGAAAAAUCAAAUCAACGAAAAGAAAAAAAAAUCAAUUCAAAUUUGGUGGGUCACUCAAAUUUAUUUCGGUGUCUUCUUCAUGUGGUUGGUACUCUAGAUAUGGCUUUAAUAUUUGACCAUUAACUUUAAACGUGACACCAUUCUUUGGGUCUUUAAUUUCAAUUGCCCCAUGUGGAAAAACAGUAUGAACAAUAAAUGGGCCAGACCAUCGAGAGCGUAACUUACCUGGGAAUAGGUGCAAGCGAGAAUUGAAUAAAAGCACUUUCUGACCUGGGGUGAAAGAUUUUCUCAUAAUUUGCUUGUCAUGGAAGACUUUCAUUCGUUGCUUGUAAAUCUUGGCAUUUUCGUAUGCAUCAUUGCGAAUUUCUUCAAGUUCUGCCAGUUGUAAUCUUCUUUCUGAGUUGGCUUGCUGCAUGUCAAAAUUGAAUUUCUUGAUGGCCCAAUACGCACGAUGCUCGAGUUCCACAGGUAGGUGGCAAGCUUUUCCAUACACUAGCCUGUAGGGUGACAUCCCAAUCGGGGUCUUGAAAGCCGUUCUAUAUGCCCAUAAUGCAUCAUCAAGUCUUAAUGACCAAUCUUUUCUGUCUGGCCUCACCGUUUUUUCUAAUAUGUGCUUUAUUUCUCGAUUGGAGAUCUCAACUUGGCCACUGGUUUGCGGAUGAUACAGGGUCGCCACUUUGUGUGUGAUUGAAUACUUUGUCAAAAGAGCCUUGAAUGCUUUGUUACAAAAGUGGGCACCACCAUCACUGAUUAUCGCUCGAGGGAAUCCAAAGCGUGAAACAAUGUUGCUUUUCAAAAAUCCUAUCACCACUUUGUGAUCAUUGGUCCUACAUGGAAUUGCUUCUACCCAUUUCGAGACGUAGUCAACACCAACCAAUAUGUAUUGAUGGCCAAAAGAAGGGGGAAAGGGUCCCAUGAAGUCGAUACCCCAUACGUCAAAAAUCUCAACCACUAAAAUUGGAUUUAGUGGCAUCAUGUUUCUUCGUGUAAUGCUCCCCAUUCGUUGACACCUAUCACAUGAAGAACAGAAAGUGUAAGCAUCUCGAAAUAUAGUUGGCCAAUAGAAACCACAUUGUAAAACUUUUGUAGCUGUUUUCUUAGCACUGAAAUGGCCUCCACACGCUUGUUCAUGGCAGAAUGAAAGAAUAUUCUGAAUUUCAUUUUCAGGGACACAUCGUCUAACAAUUUGGUCUGCACAAUACUUGAACAAAUAUGGGUCAUCCCAAAAGAAAUUCUUUAUUUCUGCAAAGAAUUUAGCCUUAUCUUGCUUGGUCCAAUGCUCUGGAAGUUUACCUGUAACAAGAUAAUUAACUAUAUCAGCAUACCAAGGUAAUACUUCCACAUUCAUUAAUUGUUCAUCUGGAAAUGACUCAUUCAAUGGUAAUGAUUCUGUAAUUGUGUCAAAAUGGAGACGAGAGAGGUGGUCCGCCACAACAUUCUCUGUCCCUUUUUUAUCUUUGAAUUCCAAGUCAAAUUCCUGCAAAAGUAACACCCAACGAAUUAGUCUGGCUUUUGCAUCUUUCUUUGUGAGAAGAUAUUUAAGAGCAGCAUGAUCUGUAAAUAUAAUUAUUUUACAACCAAUGAGAUAUGAUCGAAAUUUUUCCAAUGCAAACACUACUGCUAGCAUUUCUUUUUCAGUAGUUGAAUAGUUCAACUGUGCAUCAUUCAAUGUCAUACUAGCAUAGUAAAUAACAUGGGGAAUUCGAUCAACUCUUUGUCCUAAUACUGCUCCUACUGCAUAAUCAGAUGCAUCACACAUUAGCUCAAAUGGUAAGUUCCAGUUUGGGGCCUGAAUGAUGGGUGAUGAUGUCAACAAAUGCUUUAAUUUUUCAAAUGCCACAAGACAUGAAUCAUUAAAGACAAAAGGUGCAUCCUUAGCAAGUAAAUUGCAUAAGGGUCUAGAAACUUUGCUAAAAUCUUUAAUGAAACGUCUAUAAAAACCAGCAUGCCCAAGGAAAGAUCUUACUUCUCUGAUUGUUUUAGGUGGAGGAAGAUUAGAAAUGAGAUCCACCUUGGCUUUGUCAACCUCAAUACCUUUGCUCGAAAUGAUGUGACCGAGAACAAUACCUUGUUUUACCAUAAAAUGGCAUUUCUCCCAAUUUAAGAUCAAGUUCUUCUCGAUACAUCUCUGCAGAACUAGUGUUAGAUGAUGUAAACAUUGAUCAAACGAGUCACCAAAGACAGAAAAAUCAUCCAUAAAGACUUCAAGGAAUCGUUCAACCAUAUCAGAAAAAAUGCUCAACAUGCAUCGUUGAAAUGUAGCAGGUGCAUUACAUAAUCCAAAUGGCAUUCUCCUAUAUGCAAAUGUGCCAAAAGGGCAAGUGAAAGUAGUUUUCUCUUGAUCUUUUGGUGCUAUGGGAAUCUGAUUAUAUCCUGAGUAACCAUCUAGAAAGCAGUAAAAUUCAUGGCCUGCUAAUCUAUCAAGCAUUUGAUCAAUAAAUGGUAAAGGAAAAUGGUCUUUACGUGUGACAGAAUUCAAUUUUCUAUAAUCAAUGCAUACACGCCAUCCUGUAGUCACUCUAGUGAGUAUCAAUUCAUUAUCAGCAUUGGUAACUACUGUGACUCCUGACUUUUUAGGGACAACUUGUACAGGACUGACCCAUGAACUAUCAGAAAUUGGGUAAAUGAUACCUGCAUCUAAUAGCUUAAGGACUUCAGUUCUAACCACUUCUUUCAUAUUAGGAUUUAACCGACGUUGCAUUUCCCUAGUAGAUUUAGCAUUUUCAUCAAGGUGAAUGUAAUGCAUGCAGUCUACUGGAUUUAUACCUUUGAUGUCUGCUAUGGUCCAUCCUAAUGCUCUUUUGUGCUCUUUUAAAACAUCCAACAACUUACCUUUUUGUUCAUCAUUUAGGGAUGAUGAGAUGAUUACCGGCAGAGUACUUUCUUCUCCCAAAAACGCAUAUUCCAUAGUGUUGGGCAAUGGUUUGAGCUCGAGUUUCGGUGGUGAUUCUGAUGAUGGAAUGAGUUGCUUCUCUGAUGGUGCUAGUUGCUCAACUCUUGACUUCCAUUUAUUAGUAUCCAUAGAUGGUGCUGAGUCAAGCAGGGCGUUGACCUCAUCAACCGAUCUGUCAAUAUCAAAAUCAAAACCAAAGUGAGUUAAACAUGUUUGUAAAUGAUCAUCACUAAGGUUUGAAAGAAAAGUGUCAUCAACUAAUGCUUCGAUUAAAUCCACAUCAACAAUUCCAUCAUCUGCACUGUGAGGUUGUUUGGCAAUGUUGAAGAUGUUCAACUCCAUAGUCAUGUUGCCGAAGGACAAUUGCAUAUUUCCGGUCCUACAUUGAAUGUGAGCAUCCGCAGUUGCCAAGAAAGGUCGGCCUAGAAUAAUGGGGAUGUGCUUCCUUGAAUCCUGUAUUGGUUGAGUGUCAAUUACAAUGAAAUCAACAGGAAAAUAAAACUUGUCUACCUGGAUAAGCACGUCCUCCACAAUACCACGAGGUAUUUUCGUGGACCGAUCUGCAAGCUGUAACACCACUGGAGUUGGGUGUAAUUCUCCCAGUCCAAGUUUCACGAAUACAGAGUAAGGCAAAAGAUUUACACUAGCUCCUAAAUCCAACAAAGCAUUCUCAAUUGUGUGGUUCCCUAUACUACAUGAGAUAGUGGGGGAGCCUGGGUCUUUGCAUUUUAAAGGAAUUUUAUGUUGGAGUAUAGAACUAACGUUUUCUGUUAAAAAUGCCUUCUUUUGAACAUGCAUGUUUCUCUUUUUAGUACACAAAUCUUUAAGAAACUUGGCAUAAGAUGGAACUUGGUUUAUAGCAUCAAGUAAAGGGAUGUUAACACUUACCUGUUUGAAGAUUUCGAGAAUCUCACCUGUAGAUUUUCCCUUUUUUCCUUUCGCUAACCUCUGAGGAAAUGGAGCUUUGGGAACGUAUUCUCGUGGGUUGGCUUCUUCUCUCUCCUCCGGUGGUGAGUCCUCAACAUUCACAGGUACAAUUUGAUUUUCUUUUGUCACCGGCAUCUCCACUUUGUUGUCGACUUCUUUUCCUUUUCGCAAGGUCAUUACUGCUUUGACUUCUCCAUGCUGCUGUGGUGAACUGGUACUUGCUUCAUGCACUCCUUUAGGGUUAGGCACUGGUUGACUUGGAAACUUACCUUUCUCAACGGUCAUUGCCAAGGUCUGAACUGAAGAAGCAAGUUGUCCCACCAUCUUCUCAAGGCUUGAAACUGAUUGAGCUUGUGAGUUGAAGCCUGCUCUCAACUCAUUUCGUAGUCCAUCAAUGGUGCGGUUCUGUUGCUCAAUCGUGGAGUGAGUAAGAUUCUUAAGAUUCUGGAAUGAAUCCUCCCAUGGUCUGGGCUGAGAGUAAUUCUGGUUCUGAUUGUAUGGUCUAAAUGGUGGCUGAGAGGCUUGAGAAGUUUGAGAAAUUUGUUGCAUUGGUGGAGCUGGAGCUGCUGGUCCAUUCUGUUGGAAUCCUUGAGACCAUGAAAAAUUGGGGUGAUCUCUCCAUCCAGGGUUAUAUGUGUUGGAGUAUGGGUUGUAAUUUGAUGGCUUUCUCAUUACACCUAUGGCAUUGGCUUGAUCUGAGUAUGAGUCAUGGUCAUGUGGUUCUGUUGAUUUAGCAGUCGAUAAUGAUGCUAUUUGUCGAGCAAGACCUUCAACCAUCUCCUUGACUUCUUUGAUUCCUGAAGUUGACUCGCCAAUGUGAACCUCAUUCACUCCUUUAAUCCUUCUAGUAUUCCUGAGUGAUCGACUCCGUUGUUGGGAAUUGUCCGCUUGUCGCUGGAAGAAUUCCCAAAUUUCUGACACACUUUUUGACAUUAGCUCUCCUCCACUUGUUGCCAUUAGCCAUUCUUGCACAUUCGGCAAUAAUCCCUCCAAAAAGUAUUGGCAUUGGUGCCAUUUCUCGUACCCAUGAUGUGGACACUUCAAGAGUAGCCCAUUGAAUCGCUCCCAUGUUUCAAAAAACUGCUCGUCCUCUCUCUGGGUAAACUCCGAGAUUUCCCUGCGAAUAGCGUUGGUUUUAUGCACUGGGAAAUAUUUAUUUAAAAAUUUUGUAACCAUUUGUUCCCAUGAUGAAAUGCUAUUGGCAGGUAAAUUAUUUAACCAUGAACGAGCUCUAUCCUUUAAAGAAAAUGGGAAUAGUCUAAGUUUAACAUCAUCGUCUGAAAAAUUUUCAUAUUUAAAAGUUUGACAAAUGGCAUGAAAAUCGUUCAGUGAUUAUAUGGAUCCUCAUUUUCUAGGCCAUAAAAUGUGGGGAGACAAUUUAGCACACUAGGUUUUAGUUCAAAGCUCCUAGCAGCUACAUUAGGGUAUCUUAUGCAUGAUGUGCUCAAAUUAGCUAAAGGACUGAAGUAGUCCUUAAAUGGCCUCUCUUGUGGUUGCAAAUCCAUUUCAAAUUUAUUUUUAAUGUGCUUUUGUGUGCGAAGUGUUUUUUCUAAUUCAAGGUCUAUAGGUUCAAGAUUAGGUAAUAAUGACCUACGACCAUGCAUGCAAAACAAAUAAAAAGAAAAUAAAGAUGGGAACAAAACAAAUAAAAAUAAAGAAGAGGGAGAAAUUACGAUACUAACCUUAUUGCGCUAUUACAACCUUACUAUAAAAAUACACAAAAACAAAUAUGUGAAAUAAAUUAACUAAAAAUAAAUUAAUAAGAUAAACAAAAAAAAAUUACAAAGAAAAAUAAAUUAAAAAUUAAAUUACAGAAUUUUACAGAAGAGAAAAAGAAAAAAAAAUACUAACCUUUAAAUGCAGAUUCAAUUUUUUUUUCUUUUUUUUUUAAUAAAAAAAAUUACAAGAAAAUAAUUAAAAGAAAUUGUUCACAAAAAUUAAUUCUAUGAAUUAAAAUUACUUACCUCCCCGGCAACGGCGCCAAAAACUUGUUGUGCAAAUUUUAAUGUACUCGCAAGCGCACGAAUCUAUUGUAGUAUAGACUAAUGGUGACGAGUGUCGAUCCCACGAGGAGGUGGAUUUUAAUUAUAUGUAGAAUUAAUUUUGUAAAUGGGUAGUUGGAUUUAUGGUGGAAAUGAUUUGGAAUAUGCUAAUAAUUAAAUUAAAAUGGCGAGAAUAAAUUCUAAAAUUGGAAUUGCAAUUGAGAGAAUAAAUUGAAGAGAAAAUCUAUUAAAUUGACGUACUUGGGUAUCUGGAUCCGUAUCAACAUGCAUCAUGGGCUAAAUAUUCCUUAUUAAUACCAAUUAAAUCAUGAGGGGGGAAUCCACACCUCAUGAACCACGCUCUAAUCAAUAUGGUGCUAAGCGCUUAUCGUGCCAAAUAAUAAUAACCUUGUACCAGAGGGCCGGUGAAACCAAGGCGGUACUAGACAAGAUUAGUAUUAUUUGUCGACGAGAAGUCAAAACAUCCACAAAAACUAGAGGGGAAGAGAAAAUAAAUUUACCAAAUUAAGCCCAUGACACAUGUUGAGACUUCACCUUCAACCCAAGCUUGAAAGAAAAUUAGCCACUCAUAAUUGAACUAGGGGCAAAAUGGGAAUUUAUUAAAAUACAAAGAAAAUACAAGAUGGAGAGGGAAUUACAGAAAAUGGAUCCCAAAAAUGGAUUCAGAGAUAUCAAAUUAGGGGGGGGAGGCCCCCUUUUUAUAGAUACAUGGAGUAAAUCAUGGCCAUCGGAUUAAAAACAGUUUGGACGCUCAGGAUUGCGCCACGUCAUCAGUCAACAGUCCACGGUUUGACCACGCGGAUGAACAGUAACACGGUUUGACCCGACUUUGAACAGUAACGCGGUUUGACCCGGAUGAACAGUAACGCGGUUUGGUUGAAAAUAAUCCUGUGUGAUGCAUGCACUGUACGCGAGAUUUUUCGUCCACUGAUAUGCUGCCACGUCACCAUCAACAGUGCAUAAGAAUUUUAGUCCAACAGGAUCGUGACACCUCAUCAGUCAAUGCCACAUCAUCGGUCAAUGCCACGUCAUCAUCCGUUUAUGUGAACAGUGUCGUGAACAGUAACGUAUACAGUACCGUACACGUGAAUAGUACCGUACAUGUGAAUAGUGCCAUUUUUCCUUUUAUGCUCCUCCUAAGGUUUUCGACCGUCCUGAGUUCAAAAGUGAUGUCCGUUUUGCCGUCUGAUCUCUCCUUUAUUGUGAAAUGACUAUAAUGCCCCUAAAAUACAUAAAAUACUUAAUUAAAAUAAAACACAUGUAAUUAAAUCACAAGAAGGUUAAAUAUAUAACAGUAAGGGUUGUUAGUAAGACUUAAAAUGUAAAAUGACGGUUUUCUCCUUUAUAAAUAUGCAUUUUCUAACACUCAACAAUAUGCAAAAGGGUUGGAGAAGGAUUUAGAGUGAGGAUAAACUUUGAUUCAAGGUGGAGAAUUGUGAGAUGAAUGAAUCAAGUUUGGUUCCAGAAACGACCACGUUUUGGAGCUGUAAAGCUUCAUUAAACUCACGUGCUUAUCAGCUGGUUAGCAACAGAAAACGAAUUGAUCAAAACGACAGGACUUGAGCGCGUUUUGCAUAUCAGUUUAAGUAACCACGUGAGGAAGCAUGUGACGAAGGUUAUCAGAGUUCGUUAAGGUUGUUAAACCACGUGGCAUCGAGCUGUUUAUUCUGGAAAUCAAGCUGGCUACUUAGAACAGAGUAUAAAGGCUGAGUUUCUGAGGUGAUUCAUGACGAUCUUCAUGAGUCUUGCAGAGAGGGUUUGCAAAGAGAGAAAGUGUUAAUCUGUUCUCUGUAACGUCUGUUGUAAGGCUCUGUAACAAUCUCCAUUGUAAUAUCAAUAAAGCUCAUCUUGAGGCUUCUCCCGUGGAUGUAAGCUGAGCAUUCCAUGCUCAGCUGAACCACGUUAAUCUUGGUGUCUGUGGUUCUUUUCUUGGUUCUUGUUUCAGUUUCUUGUUUGUGUUCAUUGCUAUUGUGCUUUGUUGUUCUUGGGUGAAUUCGUCUGAAUAAAUCUUGGGGGUGUGCAACUUGCAUUGACUAAAUCACAAGCAUCCUAGGGCAGUGGUCAGUUUAGUUUGGUUAUAGGCUUGCUGAUUCACUACAGUUACCAUGUCCCCGCAGGCACCCAACUGUUUGUUAACGCUUGGAAGAUUCAACGCGACCCAAGUGUAUGGGAGGAGCCAUGUCAGUUUCAGCCAGAAAGAUUUCUUACGAGGUAUAAGGAUAUUGAUGUUAGGGGGCAAAAUUUUGAAUUGAUACCAUUUGGCAGUGGAAGACGAAUGUGUCCUGCAGUGUCAUUAGGCCUCCAAGUUGUGCAACUAACGCUUGCUUCAUUAGUGCAUGCGUUUGAUUUCACAACCCCAUCAGAUGAACCGGUUGACAUGGGAGAGGCAAUGGGCCUAGCCAUUGCUAAAGCUACACCACUUGAAGUGAUUCUUAGUCCACGCCUUUCUGCUUCUUUAUAUGGUUAAAAUUAGCUUGUGUACUUGUUAAGGCAAAAAUAAGUUGUACUUUUCAACAAUUUAGGGUGCGUUUGGGACAUGUAUUGUAUUAUGUUUUAUUGCAUUAUUUUAAUAUUAGUGUAUUGUAUUAUGCUGUAUUGCAUUAAGACUGUAUUAUAAUAAUAUUAUGCAUGUUUGGUUCUACACUGUACUGUAAUAAUUUUUUUGAUUAAUUUAAAUUAAAUAUUAUAUUAUAUUAUAGUAUAUUAAUAUACUUAUAUUGUAUUAAUAUUUUAUAUUAUUAUUAAUUUUAAAUUAAUAUUAUUCAAAUUUAACUAUUUAUUAUUAGUUAUAAUAAAUUAUAAAUUUAUUAAUAAAUUAUAAUGUAAAAAAAAUAUAAUAUAAUAAUAUUGAAUAAUAAAUUACAUGUUUAUUAAUUUAUAUUAAUAAUUAUAAUAUAAAAAUAAUAUUAAAUUAAAAGUUAUAUUUAAUAAUAAUAAUAAUUAUUAUUAUUAUUAUAAAGUAAAAGUCAAAACGCAAAACUCAAAAAGCAAGACUCCAGCGAUAGUUGCAAAAGCAAAAAAGGGAGAGAGAGAGAAAAAAAAAAAAAACAAAACAAGCAGCAAUUGCUGCAUUAAGUUAAACCCGACUGUGAGUCGGGUAGCUAAUGCGGCAAUUGCCGCAUUAGUUUGGACUUUUAAUAUGAUGGCCCUGUAGCUUUUUAUUUGCUAAACAUGAGCUUGUGUUUAUAUCAAUGGGUGUCAUCACCGUGCGUUUAUCACAUUGUAUUAUAUUAAAGGUGAGUUUGACAUAUUAUAUUACAUUGUAUUAUUUAACGUUUGAUAAGUUGCUUUUGACUGUAUUAUGUUAACAUUAUAUUAUAUUAAUGUUAUAUAAUAUUUGAUAUUAUACUGUACUAUAUUAAUUUUUAUUUAUUUUAUGUUUGGUGUUGCAUUGCAUGGCAUUAUAUUAAUUGUUUUGGUGAAAAAUUUAGAUUACAAGUUGGGAAAAAAAUAUUAAUUAGUACUUAGAAAAAAAUGAUAAAGUAGAUGUUGUAAAUUUUAUAAUUUUUUACAUCAAUUAUAUUUUAGUAUAAAUGCAAAAGAUAUCACAAUUCUUUUGAAUAUAUGUAAAAUUAAAAAAUUCUAAAAUUUUUUGUGUGUAUAUAUACACACACAGGAGCAGUUCUCAAAUAUAUAUCUUGUGAAAUAAAGAUCAAAGAAAAUAAUUCAAUCAAAUAAUCUCUAAAAAUUAUCAUAACAUAAAUAAAUAGAUAAAAGCCAUCUCAUGAUAAAGAUGACAACAAAAGAAUUUACAUAUACCACAACAAACUAGAACCCUAAUCACUAAAUAAAAUGGAUUGAACAAUGCACCAAACUCAGUUCAAUUUAUAGCUGGAGGACGUUCUAAUUCUGUUGGUUCUUCCAGGGCUCUGGCUCACUGGUGGUGCCAUAAGCCCCUAUGGACGGGCCCUCUUCAUGAUGUUACACACAUCACAGAAAUUAAAUUCAGCUGAGAAGUGGGAUGGGUUGGUAAUGGCACAUGAACUGAUCUGGGAAAAAUUUUAUCACGGAUGAUAGAUGGAAGUGACCCCAGAUUGCCAUUUGGAUACAUCAAACUGGAAGAGGUCCUUGACUUACGUUAAUUUCUUCGGUUUGUUAAAUGACAAUCCUAUUCUUCUGUCAUUUAUUCUGCAUUGUUGUGUUGAAAUUCCAUGUAGCUGGUGAUUUUUCUAACUUCAUUAGAUGGCAAGCCGUGCAAAGAUUAAUUCUCCUUCCUUAGAGACCAUGAUGAGCGCCAUGCAAAAGGUAUUCUUGCAGUAGACUCUUUAAAGUGUUUAUUACAUACCAAGCCUUUGUGUCAUAUGAAGGAUUGAUAUCUUGGGAAAGCUGUAAAAUAAGGCAGCUAUUCUUCCCUCAACUGGGCAUAAAGAAACGAUGUCCACAGCUCCAUUCUGCAUUUCCUUGUAUGACCAUGCCUAGUGACUAUUGCAGGAGGGAUACGUAGCAAGUAGGUCACACAUUGCUUCCAAUGCAAUCAAGACAAAUUGUCCCAUGGUAGUAUGCAUCAGGAUUGCCAAGGAACUUCAGGGCUGCCAAAAAACAUAGGCUAAGUGAUGUUGGUAUGGACAAGACUGGCAGCAGAAGCCAUGCCUAGCUUUUCCGGAAGCAAUCAGAAUUUAGCGAUGUAACUGCGUCUCCGUAGACAGGAGUUGACUGCCCAUAUGCACCCAAGGGAUACAAAUAUUUUUUUUUUAGGCCAACUGCAAGAUUUUGAACGGAACGAAGGCCGCAAUGAAUUAUGAAAAGGGUGGAUUAAAAUGAUUUUAAUUAUAUUGACUUGGAAGAAACCGAUUCCUGAGUUUCAGUAAAAAAUCAUGAAUUGAUUUUAAUAUAGUUUCAUACAAGGUAUACUUUGACGCAAUUAUCACCGAUUAACUAAUAUAACAUAAUUAAAUUUAAAGUCAUUUUGUUUAAAUAAAUCAAUACACAUCAUAGCUGAAAAUAUAGACUUAGGAUUCUUUCCUAGUCUUUUUUUUUUCCCUCUCGUAGUCUCUCUCAAUAUUCCAAUUCUAGUUAAAAAAAAAUUGACUUAAUAGUAAACAAAGUGAAACAAGUCUGCCUAAAUUAUUAACAUUAAAAUUCAAAAAAUUCAAGAGUCAAGACUACUCAUUUUAGAGGCUAUUAGAGAAAAAAGAUUUGAAGAGGGUUCACGUUCAAAAAUAUAAAUAAUACAUCAUACAAGAUCCUUAAACAUUAUUUGAUAUGUCAUUACAUUUAUAAAUGACAAGUCAUUCAAUUUUCACUCUAGAGUAAAGAUUAUACAAAAUGUUAUCUGCCAUAAAAUUAUAAACAACAUAUACCGUAUCUGACGAAUUUCAAACAAAUAAUUUAACUCCAAGUAAGAAUCAACAACAUUUUACCUAUUUAGUAUCUUAAUUUCUUUUGAAUUCCAACUGAAAUAACAUUUAUUUAUUAAAUGGUAAAUUAAAAAUUUCAUGAGUUAUGAAGUUCAUCAUAAUGAGUCAUAUAAUAUUGAGAGUCAAGUUGAAACUCAAAUAUUAAAACUCCUAAAUUAGCUAACAUAAAAUUAAGAAACUCAUUAAAUAUGUAUAAAUGUUUAUAAUUAACUUAUUUUGCAGCUAAUUUUUCCAACUUGAAAACAUGUUAAUUCCAAAGGUCCCUUAAGAUGAAGAUUCCUAAUUUCACCUUAACCUUGGUGUGACAGUAAGCUUGACUUGAUAACCUUAAAAGGGUUAACAACUAGAGCCUAUCAAACUUAAUGGAACAAGUGUGAAAUACCUUCUCAAUAUACUGAAAUGAAUUCCUACCACUACAAAAUUUUAUAAUUGUCAUUGAAAUUAAAAAUCCCAAAAUUUUAACAAUAAUUCUUAAGACUUUGAAAAAGAAUAAGCGGGAAACAUUGAAACUUCCUACACAAAAUUCAAGUGCUUGUAGGUAUCUAAAACCAUAAUAGCAGAUUAAGAAUGGAAUAGACUUCAUGGGCGAACUGGAACUCCGAUGGCUGGGCGUGGCGCUUGACCAGGCUGACCAGGCUUUGGCAAAUCAUCCUGAAUGAAAAGGAAAAAAAAGAAAAAAUAUAUAUAUAUAAGAGCCAAUGAAGAAAAUUUUCAAGUACGCAAGCACAAAUGAAGACCAUAUAAAACUGACAAGCUUAACCAUUUUUCAAAUGCUACAGAAAUCACACAGCAACUAUCCCAAGACCAAAAACAUCCUCAAUUUGGGCUUUUAGUUCCCGGUAAAACAAAUGAAAAAGCUACCACACAGAGACAUAACACUGUCUCCUUUUUUUCCUCACCCCCCCCCCCCCCCCCUCUCUCUGCGGCUAACCCAGAAGUAAGCUUUUUUAACAGGCUGAAUGAGGAUAUUACUACUGGCAAGGAAAUCCUUGUGAUAAAACAGACUAGGUAAGUGGUCUAUCUGCCUACAUCUAUAAACCAUAAAUCAUUCUAAAAAUCAAUAUGAACAGAGAGCAUUAGCCAAAACCCUGAUUAAAAAAUCUCAAUAGAAACAUGCAAAAGAUACCCUGCGUCUCAUAAAACGCUUUGGUGGUUCACGGUUCCUGCGGUCAGUGCGCGAGCGAACCCUCACCACAUGCGAGUGAAUUGCACAGGAGACACAGUACUGCAUCUUUGCAUACAACUUAGGCAGAACAUAGUCUGCAUCAAAUAUAAAAGAUUCCCAUUAUUUCCCAUUCAAACAAUACAUAAUUAAUUACAAAAUAAGAGAAAUAAUAACAUGUGUACUAGAUAUUUACUAUCAUAGAUGCAGGCAUCCUGCACGUCUCUGACAGCAGCUUGCUCAACAAUGUUCCUCACAAGGAACCUCUUGAUGGCCUUGUCCUUUUCAUCCAUUCACAACCCAAAAUUAAAAAAAAAAAAAUUGUGUCAAAUUACAAUAAACAAAAGGCAUAUAAAUUAAUUUUUAAAUGCAAACUUAACAUCAUUACAACAACUCUAGUCUAGUCUAACUGUAUGAUUUGACCAAUACAUCCGCAGAAUUUAUCAUGACACAAGUUUACAAAAAAUAUGGAAUAACUGAAAAAAUGAAUCUUCUUUCCCGUAAUGCCACACAAUUGCCUCAUUUGGGGGGGCAAAAUUCUCAAUGUUCUUGAUUUUUAUCAAAAUGACCAAAACAAAACAGGGAACCAUGUAAUACUAAUAAUAAUAAAAAAGAUACAAUUUUAGUUAAUUAAAGCGAUACAAAAAUCAAAACAAAAUGCAUACUUUGGGGCAGCAUUUGCCGCAGUUGGAGCAGCGGAUGAAGUUGACGUGGCCACGGCCGUGCUUGUUGCGGCCGCCGUUCCGGCGCUUGAAGGUCUGUCAUAGAAAAAAAAAUAUAAUAAAUCAAAUUUAUAUUAAAUAAAAACAAUUCUUUUUUUUUCAAUAAGAAUAUUUUUGGAAAUCAGAAAGAUAAAAUAUUUUCGCAAACCAUUCUGUUUUCUUAAAGGGAUGAAGGCGGCGACAGGCGAGAUUUGGUUGUUUGCUCGACUCAAAGUGCGGCAGGGCUUCUGAAAGUACAAGUUACGCGGCACUUUUAUACGGAGGAGUGACUUUCCAUAAUUGCGAAUUGAGGCCUCUUUUUUAUAAUAUUUUCACAUUGCCCCUAUUAUCUUGGAUGGUGAGGAUUGGAUUAUGAUUAUAGAUAAGUAAAUUCGGACGGACCGUUUGAGACUUAACGAGAUAAUGAUAGAUUUUUAAAAAAAUUAAAAUUUGAUCAUAUUUUAUAAAGGUAAAUAGUUAUUUUUAUUUUUAAAAAUUUAAUAAAUAACUAUAUUUGAUCUCUUUUUAUUUCUUUCGCCAACCUCCAUCACUCAGUUAAACUUAUGAUAAAUUUUUAAAUAAUUUGCUAUCUCUCAACAUAAUUCAAUACUCAUAAUAUACCAUUAGUCGAGACCUACUGUGAUCUUCGAAUACCAGAUAAUUUAAUACACUAAAAAAAAAAUACCAUUAUCAUCAGUUCAAUCCUUUUACACACACUCUUUCAACUUCUGCCAACUCUAUAUCUCCAGCAAAAGAAGUAGUGAUGAUCUCCCCUUUGCAAUUUUUGACAACCAUGUCUAAAGCCCAACCAUCAUUCCUUCUGAAGUUGAGAUUGCUGCACGAGUGAAAAAGAAUAUUGAAAUUGAAUUAUUAAUUUGGAAGAAUUUCACAACACAAUUAAACAGUUAUUGAAUGUAUUUGAGUCAUUUGACCGUAUAUUUUUUUGUUAAAAAAAACCCAUAUCUAGGUUCAGUUACAAAAGCCAAAUCUCUCAAAUCAUGUGUCUAGAUUCAAGGACCACAAACAAGAGAUUCCAAGAACUUGUUAACACCCUUUUAGAAAACUUGAUUUUGGAUUUUCAUGCUUGGACAAUGGCUUCUUGGAUUCCUCUCCAGUGACUCCAAUUUUGUCAUACAAUUGAUUGAAAUUGAAUGGCUAAUGCUCGAUUGAUACUCUUAAGUCUUAUCGAGAUUUUGAGCCCGGCAUAGUUUAGGAGUUUUAUAAGUUUAAAAAAUGGGGUGGCUGAAAAAUAGGCUGAUGAAGAAUUUAAACAAAAAAAAAAAAAGUUCGAAUAUCACUCAAAUUUAAUUCUUUUUUAUUUAAAAAAACUGAUGAUUUUUAUUUAAAAGAAUAAUAUUAAGUCCCUCAAGUUUUUUAUUUUUAACUAUUUGUAUCUUUUCUUUAAAACUUAUUAUACUCAUAAGAUAUCAACAGUCAAUAUUCAAAAUAACUUUUUCUAAAUAUCAAAACAAUCAUCAUAAUCAUUAUUAUUAUUAUUUCGUGUAAUAUAGUUAAAGGGACAAAAAUCUAAGGGUGAAAUAAAAGUGGUAUUUAAUAGAAUUUAUAUAAUGACAAAAGCCAAGUGGACCCAAGUGAUAAAACUGUUUAAUUGAUGGACAGAAGAUCAAUUUUCAUUUGUGUUGCCGACACCACAGUUUGGUUUACGCUUCCCGACCCAUGAUAUAGGAGAAGUCUAUGUUACAGCUUCUGUAAGUAGCAGCAGCCAAUAGGGAACUUCCACGGGUGCUAGAGGAGAGAGAAAGAGGUCCCAAUGCAAGGUGAUGGAAAUGGGAAAGUUCGAAGCUGUUACUUGCAGCUUCUGCACCUUAGCCAUGUCCGGAUAUUCAGGACCAUGCACUUUUGUCAUCCCAGACAAUUUUUCAUAAUUAAAACAAAACAAGUGCUGCGUCCUGUGGCUGAUAUUUAGAGCAAAUGAAGUUUACCAAGUCCUCCCAUAAAAAUAUCAUAUCCCACCAUUUUCUCCAACCAUUUUAAAGGUUGAAAUUACAAGAGAAGUCGUAUCAUAUCUAUGUACUAUGUUUAUCACAAUUGUUUGGCAACCACCAAAUUCGCCGUAUAAAGUCAUUGAUUAAUCAGAAAAAUAUACCAUCGUCGAAAACUUCGCCAUUGUGGCCCCUGAUGUAUAAAACUGACCAUAGGAUUAGCAAAGGUUUGUCAGCUAGCGGAACUUACGUGUACGUCAUGCACACUUAAAUGUUAUCUAUAUACUGUGUAGGCAUUGCUCUGACGUAACCUCUUCAUUCAGAGUCCCCGAGUCAGCUGCAAGGGAAUGGCCAUGAAUAAUCUUUCAGCAGAAUCAACUGUUGCUGCAGCAAUUUCAGCCUUAGUGAUAUUCCUCUCAAUUUUCCUAUUGAUUUCAAGAAAUGGGCAAAAAAGGACACUCAAGAAGAAGCAAGCUCAACAAGCACCGGAAGCAGGGGGAGCAUGGCCUUUGAUAGGCCACCUACAUAUCUUACGAGGGUCAGAGCCAGCUCACAGAGUUUUGGGCAACAUGGCUGACAAAUAUGGACCGAUAUUCACUAUGAAAUUGGGAGUGAAGCAAGCUUUAGUGGUGAGCAACUGGGAAAUUGCCAAGGAGUGUUUUACCACAAACGACAAAGCUUUUGCAGGUCGCCCCAAAACAAUGGCCACGGAGCUUUUGGGGUACAACUUUUUGGUCAUAGGCUUCGCACCAUAUGGCAACUACUGGCGUCAGUCACGUAAGAUAGCCACAAUUGAGCUUCUGUCAAAUCGUCGCCUUGAGAAGCUCAAACAUGUACGUGAAUCCGAAGUGAAGGCUUCAAUCCAGAGGUUAUACAAGAAUUGCAUAAGUAGCAGCAGUUCACGUAAAGUAGUUUCGGUAGAGAUGAUCCAUUGGCUCGAGGGCACAGUACUUGACAUUAUUUUGAGAAUAAUUGCCGGAAAACGUUACACUUCACAAUCACAAGAGGUUAAUGAUUGGCAACAGCAAAUAACAAAAUUCACUGCCUUGUCUGGUCAGUUCGUGGUGUCCGAUGCGUUGCCCUUUCUGAGAUGGCUAGAUAUCGGCGGCUAUGAGAGAUUAAUGAGCAAGACAGCCAAAUAUUUUGACAUCAUUUUGCAAGAAUGGUUGGAUGAGCACAAGAUGAAAAGAGAUUCUGGUGAUGCUAAGGGCGACGAGGAUUUCAUGUAUGUGUUGUUGUCCUUGCUUGAUGAUAAUGCAGAGCAGCUUCCUGAUCGCGAUGCUGACGCUGUCAUUAAAGCAAUAUGCGUGGUAUAUUAUAUGCCCAUGAAAAGCUUUUGUGUUUGUGUUUGUAUUGUUAUAUGAAUGUCACAGAUUGCUUACUGCUUUUAAUUUGCAGACUCUAAUCGUAGCGGCUGCAGACACCUCAGUAGUUACGUUGACAUGGGCUAUUGCUUUACUUGUCAACAAUCGCGAUGUUCUGAAGAAGGCACAAGACGAAUUAGACAUUCAGGUUGGCACUGAAAGGCCAGUGAAUGAAUCGGACGCGAGAAAUUUGGUUUACUUGCAGGCCAUUAUCAAGGAAACGAUGCGUUUAUACCCCGCUGCACCACUUUUACUACCUCACGAGUGUAUAGAAGAAUGCAUCGUCAAUGGUUACCACGUCCCUGCAGGCACCCAACUGUUUGUUAACGCCUGGAAGAUUCAACGCGAUCCAUGUGUUUGGGAGGAGCCAUGUCAAUUUCAGCCAGAAAGAUUUCUUACUAGGCAUAAGGAUAUUGAUGUUGGGGGACAAGAUUUUGAAUUGAUACCAUUUGGCAGUGGAAGAAGAAUGUGUCCUGCAGUGUCAUUUGGCCUCCAAGUUAUGCAACUAAUGCUUGCUUCAUUAGUGCAUGGGUUUGAUUUUACAACCCCAUCAGAUGAACCGGUUGACAUGGGAGAGGCAAUGGGCCUAACCAUUGCUAAGGCUACUCCGCUU